UACAGAGACUGCAAGCGUUAUUCGGAUUCACUGGGCGUAAAGGGUGCGCAGGUGGCCAAGUGUGUUAGGCGUGAAAGCCCGGGGCUUAACCCCGGAAUUGCACCUAAAACUACUUGGCUAGAGCAUUGGAGAGGGGAGCAGAAUUCAUGGUGUAGCAGUGAAAUGCGUAGAUAUCAUGAGGAAUACCAGAGGCGAAGGCGGCUCCCUGGACAGUUGCUGACACUCAGGCACGAAAGCGUGGGGAGCAAAAGGG
rnacentral:rRNA from 1 species